UGGGGAAUAUUGGACAAUGCGCGCAAGCCUGAUCCAGCCAUGCCGCGUGAGUGAUGAAGGCCCUAGGGUUGUAAAGCUCUUUCACCGUUGAAGAUAAUGACGGUAACCGGAGAAGAAGCCCCGGCUAACUUCGUGCCAGCAGCCGCGGUAAUACGAAGGGGGCUAGCGUUGUUCGGAUUUACUGGGCGUAAAGCGCACGUAGGCGGACUUUUAAGUCAAGGGUGAAAUCCCGGGGCUCAACCCCGGAACUGCCUUUGAUACUGGAAGUCUUGAGUAUGGUAGAGGUGAGUGGAAUUCCGAGUGUAGAGGUGAAAUGCGUAGAUAUUCGGAGGAACACCAGUAGCGAAGGCGGCUCACUGGACCAUUACUGACGCUGAGGUGCGAAAGCGUGGGGAGCGAACAGG
rnacentral:rRNA from 1 species